AACGAACGCUGGCGGCAUGCCUAACACAUGCAAGUCGAACGAGACCUUCGGGUCUAGUGGCGCACGGGUGCGUAACGCGUGGGAACCUGCCCUUAGGUUCGGAAUAACUCCCCGAAAGGGGUGCUAAUACCGGAUAAUGUCUUCGGACCAAAGAUUUAUCGCCUCUGGAUGGGCCCGCGUUGGAUUAGCUAGUUGGUAGGGUAAAAGCCUACCAAGGCGACGAUCCAUAGCUGGUCUGAGAGGAUGAUCAGCCACACUGGGACUGAGACACGGCCCAGACUCCUAGGGGAGGCAGCAGUGGGGAAUAUUGGACAAUGGGCGAAAGCAUGAUCCAGCAAUGCCGCGUGAGUGAUGAAGGCCUUAGGGUUGUAAAGCUCUUUUACCCGUGAUGAUAAUGACAGUACCGGGAGAAUAAGCGCCGGCUAACUCCGUG
rnacentral:rRNA from 1 species